UCCCCCUAGUAACGGCGAGUGAAGCGGGAAGAGCUCAAAUUUGAAAUCUGGUAGCCUUCGGUUGCCCGAGUUGUAAUCUAGAGAAGUGUUUUCCGUGCCGGCCCAUGUACAAGUCCCUUGGAACAGGGCGUCAUAGAGGGUGAGAAUCCCGUCCUUGACAUGGACCCCCGGUGCUUUGUGAUACACUUUCAACGAGUCGAGUUGUUUGGGAAUGCAGCUCAAAAUGGGUGGUGAAUUCCAUCUAAAGCUAAAUAUUGGCGAGAGACCGAUAGCGAACAAGUACCGUGAGGGAAAGAUGAAAAGCACUUUGGAAAGAGAGUUAAACAGUACGUGAAAUUGUUGAAAGGGAAACGAUUGAAGUCAGUCAUGCUCUUGGGACUUACCUCCCUUGAGUGGGGUCAACAUCAGUUUUGAUCGAUGGAUAAAGGCACGGGGAAGGUAGCACUCUCGGGUGAACUUAUAGCCUCGCGUCAUAUACAUUGAUUGGGACUGAGGAACGCAGCAUGCCUUAUGGCCGGGAUUCGUCCACGUACAUGCUUAGGAUGUUGACAUAAUGGCUUUAAACGACCCGUCUUGAACCACGGACCA
rnacentral:rRNA from 1 species